GGGAUGUUUUACUCGGUUAAUCCUCUUUUAAUGACCGACCUGUAACCAUGCAUAAGCCUACCGUAUCCCCUUCAGUGUAAUAAAUGAAGAAUUAUUUCUUCAUUUAUUGAAGAAUGAAGAAAUAAUUCUUCAUUCUUCAAUAAAUGAAGAAUGCUUUUAUCAAGCACUUUCACUUUGUGUCCAGCUGAGUUAUAUUAACUUUCCUGAGAAACACUUUUCGGAAUAUAUUAACUUUCCUGAGAAACACUUUUCGGAAUAUAUUAACUUUCCUGAGAAACACUUUUCGGAAUGCCCCCACGUCUGAAGCCUGUCAUCAAACGCACCUGCUAUGGCUUGGCCAGUGAGUGAACCCCUAAACUGCGUUGCUUGUAAAACGACUCUCUGGGGAGUAAAAUCCUCACCAAUCCACUUAUAAGAGACAUUGGGCAGACACUGCUAGUCCAAAUAUCAGUGGUGAAGCUGACGUCUGAAAUGUCCUGCAACAGGUUCAUGGUGUGCUUUUUCACCAAGUCAUACAGGUUUGGUAAUGCGCUAUCUGUAAUGUGGUGACGGCUGGGAAUCUUAUACUUCGGCUCAAGUACAACUGACAACGGUUGGUCAUCAAGAGCAAUGAAGUGGUCUGUCUGUCUCUCUCAUUCUCUCUGUCAGUCUCUCUCUUAGAUGUGUCAGUCUCUGGAGAUGUGGAGUGGGAUUCCUGCACCGGGAGAAAACACAAAGCCGUUCUUUCCUGUCUGUUGUGUCUGGCCUCCUUUUAUGAAGAUGAUCUUAAACCUCUCAAUCAGUCUCCUGCCUUUAAGAAGCACACGUUAGUUGAAGCCUGUGCAGAGCUCCAAGAGAAGAUCUGCUCUCAGCACACCAAACUGAUUGAUAUCUACUGUCAUACUGACAAAAGCCUCAUCUGUUAUUUGUGUAUGAUGGAUAAACAUAAAGGCCAUGAUACUGUUUCAAUUAAAGCAGAAAGAACUGAAAAACAGGUGAACUGUAUGUCAAUAUACUUUUUUUUCAAGUAAAUCUAUACAAAUUUCUAGUUCUAGCCUAAUUUCUAUUCGAUUGCUUUGGUUUGAUUAUAUGACUCUCGUUCAUUGUGAAGUGAAUUUGUAUUAGAAGUCAAAUGAAACGGGUCAGACUAUUCAGUGUACUUUAAACAGCCAACACCCUACAGCUUUUUAACAGCACUUUACAACAAAAGUGUACACAUGACUGUGUUAAAUCCACUGUAUCAGUUUUAUCGCUGUGUUGGUUGUUUAUAUUGUUUUCAGUUUCUAAUCAAUUUUAUUUCAUGUUUGAAAAUAUUUGAUUGGGAAAAUGUAUAGUAUGAAAAUGAGUGCCUGGAUUUGGUGUGGUUGGUGCAAAGCCCGGUCAACAUGGUCACUAGUGGAGAAAGAAAGAUGGAGCUUUAGAGUAAGCUCAUUAGGAAGAACUUGGCUUCAGGUGUGGUUUUUCUCACAAACAUCGGUAAUUUCAUAACUCCAUUGAAUGGUCUAGAAGUAAAAAAUGUGAAUUUUUAAUGUGUCAGAAUGCGAGUGGAUUCAUGAUGUAUUUAUGUGAAUAUUUCUGAACUACCUUAACGUAAUAUACAGAAGUAACAUUAUUAUUUCUUCCAGUUGCCACUUUCUCUUGUUCUCUUUAAUGUUCCCUGGAAUCUUCUUGUCCACCGCCCAACCCAAACCUGUUUUCUACUCUGUUUUUGACUAAGGCAUUGAAUUUUUCACCUGUUGAUUUAAAGCCUGCCUGUACUUGCAGCCAUAUAUGCUACCUGACAUUUGUGUAACAUGAGUGAAUUUGCAGGUCAUAUUGACACUGAGUUGCUGACACACGAAUAAUGAACUGUAUUUUGUUUGGCCUCGAAUGAGCUAAAGAAGAAGCAGAUGAAAUUCCUGCAGAGGGUGAGGAAGAAGCAGGAGAGGGUGCAGGAGCUGAAACAGACUGUGGACACUAUUAAGCAUGUUAGGAGGUUGGGGUCAGAGCACAGGGUCAGCCAUGAUACAGCGCGAGGAGCAGAGAGGGUUAAGGGCCUUGCUCAAGGGCCCAACAAUGGCAGCGUGGCAGUGCUGGGGCUUCAACCCCCGACCUUCCGAUCAGUAACUAAGUAAGUAAUCAGUUUACCUCUGACUGUUGCAAAACACUAACAUUGGAAACUCCUUACAUAACCCUCUUACAGAAAACGUCACCCUAUUAAUGAUUACACAAGUUUUUAAUCCAUUUCUGCAGACUGUGUGUAUGUGUGUGUGUGUGUACUAACCAAGUAGGCCAGAUUAAUUUUGUUGUUGUAGUCUCCCACCAGCCACAGGCCGUGUUCACCGUUUCCAUCAAUUCCCAACACGGUUUCCUGG